ACUUAAAUAAUUUAAAUUAAAAUAUUGAUUUGUGGAUUCAAAAAUAUGGUUAGCCAUUUUAAGUC
rnacentral:tRNA from 1 species